GCUUGCUGGGGGAUUAGUGGCGAACGGGUGAGUAACACGUGAGUAACCUGCCCUUAACUCUGGGAUAAGCCUGGGAAACUGGGUCUAAUACCGGAUAUGACUCCUCAUCGCAUGGUGGGGGGUGGAAAGCUUUAUUGUGGUUUUGGAUGGACUCGCGGCCUAUCAGCUUGUUGGUGAGGUAAUGGCUCACCAAGGCGACGACGGGUAGCCGGCCUGAGAGGGUGACCGGCCACACUGGGACUGAGACACGGCCCAGACUCCUACGGGAGGCAGCAGUGGGGAAUAUUGCACAAUGGGCGAAAGCCUGAUGCAGCGACGCCGCGUGAGGGAUGACGGCCUUCGGGUUGUAAACCUCUUUCAGUAGGGAAGAAGCGAAAGUGACGGUACCUGCAGAAGAAGCGCCGGCUAACUACGUGCCAGCAGCCGCGGUAAUACGUAGGGCGCAAGCGUUAUCCGGAAUUAUUGGGCGUAAAGAGCUCGUAGGCGGUUUGUCGCGUCUGCCGUGAAAGUCCGGGGCUCAACUCCGGAUCUGCGGUGGGUACGGGCAGACUAGAGUGAUGUAGGGGAGACUGGAAUUCCUGGUGUAGCGGUGAAAUGCGCAGAUAUCAGGAGGAACACCGAUGGCGAAGGCAGGUCUCUGGGCAUUAACUGACGCUGAGGAGCGAAAGCAUGGGGAGCGAACAGGAUUAGAUACCCUGGUAGUCCAUGCCGUAAACGUUGGGCACUAGGUGUGGGGGACAUUCCACGUUUUCCGCGCCGUAGCUAACGCAUUAAGUGCCCCGCCUGGGGAGUACGGCCGCAAGGCUAAAACUCAAAGGAAUUGACGGGGGCCCGCACAAGCGGCGGAGCAUGCGGAUUAAUUCGAUGCAACGCGAAGAACCUUACCAAGGCUUGACAUGAACCGGAAAUACCUGGAAACAGGUGCCCCGCUUGCGGUCGGUUUACAGGUGGUGCAUGGUUGUCGUCAGCUCGUGUCGUGAGAUGUUGGGUUAAGUCCCGCAACGAGCGCAACCCUCGUUCUAUGUUGCCAGCGCGUUAUGGCGGGGACUCAUAGGAGACUGCCGGGGUCAACUCGGAGGAAGGUGGGGACGACGUCAAAUCAUCAUGCCCCUUAUGUCUUGGGCUUCACGCAUGCUACAAUGGCCGGUACAAAGGGUUGCGAUACUGUGAGGUGGAGCUAAUCCCAAAAAGCCGGUCUCAGUUCGGAUUGGGGUCUGCAACUCGACCCCAUGAAGUCGGAGUCGCUAGUAAUCGCAGAUCAGCAACGCUGCGGUGAAUACGUUCCCGGGCCUUGUACACACCGCCCGUCAAGUCACGAAAGUUGGUAUACACCCGAAGCCGGUGG
rnacentral:rRNA from 1 species